rnacentral:rRNA from 2 species
GCCCCGGUAAACGGCGGCCGUAACUAUAACGGUCCUAAGGUAGCGAAAUUCCUUGUCGGGUAAGUUCCGACCUGCACGAAUGGCGUAAUGAUGGCCAGGCUGUCUCCACCCGAGACUCAGUGAAAUUGAACUCGCUGUGAAGAUGCAGUGUACCCGCGGCAAGACGGAAAGACCCCGUGAACCUUUACUAUAGCUUGACACUGAACAUUGAGCCUUGAUGUGUAGGAUAGGUGGGAGGCUUUGAAGUGUGGACGCCAGUCUGCAUGGAGCCGACCUUGAAAUACCACCCUUUAAUGUUUGAUGUUCUAACGUUGGCCCGUAAUCCGGGUUGCGGACAGUGUCUGGUGGGUAGUUUGACUGGGGCGGUCUCCUCCUAAAGAGUAACGGAGGAGCACGAAGGUUGGCUAAUCCUGGUCGGACAUCAGGAGGUUAGUGCAAUGGCAUAAGCCAGCUUGACUGCGAGCGUGACGGCGCGAGCAGGUGCGAAAGCAGGUCAUAGUGAUCCGGUGGUUCUGAAUGGAAGGGCCAUCGCUCAACGGAUAAAAGGUACUCCGGGGAUAACAGGCUGAUACCGCCCAAGAGUUCAUAUCGACGGCGGUGUUUGGCACCUCGAUGUCGGCUCAUCACAUCCUGGGGCUGAAGUAGGUCCCAAGGGUAUGGCUGUUCGCCAUUUAAAGUGGUACGCGAGCUGGGUUUAGAACGUCGUGAGACAGUUCGGUCCCUAUCUGCCGUGGGCGCUGGAGAACUGAGGGGGGCUGCUCCUAGUACGAGAGGACCGGAGUGGACGCAUCACUGGUGUUCGGGUUGUCAUGCCAAUGGCACUGCCCGGUAGCUAAAUGCGGAAGAGAUAAGUGCUGAAAGCAUCUAAGCACGAAACUUGCCCCGAGAUG